AGCCGGGCGCGGGGCUCGAACUCAGGAACCGCGAGAUCGCCCAACCGACUGAGCCACCCAGGCGCCCCUCCCGUGCAGUCUUUCUUACCUGACUGCAGAAAUAGUUCUUGGCCUGAAAUCUCACUUCAAAUGUGGGUUUAAGGUGUUCUUUUUAGAGGACUUCAGACACUGCCAGGACGCCGGGAGCAACCUUUUUCAGGACGCAAAGCUCGGUGCCCUUAAUUCCCGGAAGAGGAGGAAAAGCACAAUCUCUGAACUAGGUUAGGUCUUCUGGGGAGUGUUCAUCGGCUUCAGCUCACUGAGAAGGGAGUUGGCCAAAUAUAAAAUUCCCCAGUCUGAAUCCUUCUCUUUCUUGUAAGAGCAGCUGGAAGACAAGCCACCCAGCUUAGUGACCCCCCACCUCCCCACCUCGGCUCCCCAGACUUUCAGACCCAGGAGCGCACACAAGUACCGAUCCUGACCAUUAGGUGUCACUGUUGUACACGACAUGGACUGACCUGGGCUCCGGACGAUUGACCGCGCUCCAACUUGAUCCGCCUUUCGAUUUCUGCAUGACCGUGGGGUUCCCCAAAGUCUAGCGGUGCCCAGCCUGAGUCCAGUAACCAGUCAACAGUUGACACAAAGUACAGGUAAAGCCCACCUGGGCUUUGCACUCUGGCAGUUACAGCUCUUUGUGAUGGAGGAUGUAAAAGCAGUCGGUAUGGUGAGCAGCCGGAAGGGCAAAUAAAAAUAUUUUUUACCGUUGCAUUUAAAAAUUCAUAAUAAACUAUGUCAAAUGUACAGGAAAAUUAGAGGACAUUACAAGAAACCCUUGAACUGAAUUGCCAUGUCUGCUUCAGUGUUUUGCUUUGUUUUAUAUAUGUAUUCACAAACAUUGUAGAGCAUCGUUCUGUGUGUUUUCAAAUUUUAUGUAAACAUUCCCAUUUCUAUUACAUCAUUUUGCAAGUUGCUUUUACCACCUCAACCAUUAUUUUUCGUUUUGGGGGUUUAUUACUGUCGCUGUAAGUAGCUCUGAUUUAUUUAUUUGAACCACUGUAUUGUAUUCCAUUGAAUCUCUACAACAAUCAGUUUAUAAAAUCAUUGGCUAUUUCCAAUUUUGUUAUUACUGCAGGUAAGGCUGAAAUGACAAUUUAAAAACAACUUUAUUUAGGUAUAACUUACAUACCACAGAGUUUACCCACUUUAUUAAAGUAUACAAUUCAAUGGC